rnacentral:lncRNA from 1 species
UCUGCCCACGGGCUUUGUCUGCAUAGGAGAAAGAGAAAUACAUGCAAACUUUGUGUGACCUAUAGGAUCUUUCUGACUGCGGUGACCUGGUGGGGCAGCACGUCCUCCUAUUCUGCUAACAAGACCCAUCUUUUCUAAACAUCUCAAAGCCUCCACAAAUAAUGCACAUUUGAAGAGCCAGAUGCAAAGAGAAGUGGAGGGAGUACUUUGAAGAAUAAGAACAGGAUCUCUUAUGGCAGCUUUCUUGCAUGGUACUAUUUGCUGCUGCAGAAAUGAGAAAGUAUUCCUCCUGGCAGAAGAAGCAUGGCAUAUGGCAUCAGGAAUUUGAACCCAAGUGAAGUCAAGUCCAGAGCAGUCAAAUCUGGUCCGUGUCCAGGUCCGUCAGAUCCAGGUCUAGGUCUGCCCCUGUGUCCAGAAACAUCUCUGCAAGACCAGAGGCAGGAAUACAAGUGUAUCCCACAGAUGUGCCCUGACCACUUGAGCCUACUCAUCUGCUGACAUCUGUUGAAUGUGGCCCUGAGCUCACAGACCCUCUUCUUGAGAUUUGUAACAAAGGUGGUUAAAAUUUAAAAAUAAAAAAAUCCCAAACAAUCCUAAACA